rnacentral:lncRNA from 1 species
CUCCUCUCUUUAAAUAGUCACACCUUCAUGAGCAGCUUUGCAUGGCUUUGAAUUUAACUGAUUUAAUCUGGCAACUCCUCAGAUUUGUUGAUGACUCCUCAAGUGACGAAACGUCCAGUGAACAGGAGGAGACUAAAAUACGAAAAUGGCAGUUACAAAAGCAGGAGUGUGACACAUUCCAGAGACCCAGUGAGGACAUGCGGAAAUUGUCCCACCGUCCUCAGCUACCCAGUCAGUCUGAGAGAAAUGAACUGCAGACUGACAAGAAGCUGACUGGAAAUAAGAAGGAGAAACCUGAGAUGCCAGGGAGAUCUCAGCUUAGGCUGCCCUCUAAAGACAUCCAGGUAAAGCCUGUAGCACCAGUCAGUGAACUCCUGGACCAGCCGGCAGAACCGGACAAGACGCCCAGAGCCAAACCAAAGUAAGUCAAUUCCAUGGAAGAAAAUUCAGUUUUGAACUCGACUCUUUCUUGUCGUCCCCCAUCAAUGUUAGACUAUUGAUCGUCUCUCUUUAAAUAUUUUUGCUGAAACUCUUCAGUGUAACUGAUCUUAAAAACUGUCUCUCCAACACCACAGAUACCCUUCUUACUCAAUAAUCAGUUCAGAUGAAGAAUCUGAAACUGGAGGAGACACCAGUCAGCAGCAGGAGGUCAUGCGGAUAUGGUCCAUCCGUCCUUGGCUACCCAGUGACUCAGGGGGAAGUGAACAGGAGACUCACAACAAGCUGGAUGUUAAUAAGAAGGGGGAACCUGGUAAAGGUUCGUUGUGUGUUCCAUAUAAAGCUAUACAGUUUAUUAGAAUAUUGUACUGUAUUACAUGUCAUUGCAGUGAAGCAUAUUUGAUUUGUGUAGACGUUAUUAUCAGGAUAUUAAAUUGUAAAAUACUGCACAGUAUAAGAAAACCCAACACAAUCGUUUCUAGUUUCGUCUGCUGGACGUUCUGCUAAAGCACAACCAGAGGCGAUGACAUCUACAGAAGCUCCAAAGAAAUUUUCUUUCCUGUAAGAAAUGUCAGAUUUCUGGAAAAACAAAUGAUUUUCUAUUUAUUAUUAUCUUAUUAUUUCCACCUAAAUGAUAAGUUUUAAAUGGUUUUAAAUUCCUGCUUAUUUCCCUCCAGGAACAUAUUCAAAAAUUUAAAAAAGAAAUUGAAGGGAAAAACGGAAAAAAAAGAACAGAAUGAAGUAAAAUCGGAGAAACCGGUUGAGGGCAGACAGAGUCAACAGCAGACCAACAAGGUGAGUUUGGGGGACAAAAGGUAAGGCCUUUGUUGGUGUCACCGGAAACUCAACAGAUGACCGACUUUA